GUUGAUACUGCGAUAUAUCCUCUGCAGUAAGUGCCCAAAAAGCUUUGUUUGCUUUUCCUGAUAGUUUCCCAGCCAGGAUAGUGACCCAUUGAUCUGGUGGUAUCUGGUGUAGUGAGCACUGCCUUUCAAAAUCAGCCAAAUACCCGUCAAUCUCUUCCUCACUUUCCACAAACGCUUUGAACGCAGUGAACGGUAUUUUCUGCCCUGUAGCAGC